AUGUGCAAGUUUCUUUCUUCCUUUUGUCAUAAAAUUAAAAUAGAAGAGGAAUAAGAGGAAGGGAGGAAUGUUGAAUCUCGGAUUUUGAUAAUGAAAUCAAUUGAUAAAUUAUUUGAUCAAAUUUAUAUGUUGAGAAAAGCGUGCAGGAUUAACUACGAUAGUGAUCAAGGCAUAAAUGUAAUAUCCCCCACUUUUAAAAAUGUAUUAAUAAGGAUUUAUAUGUAAAUUGGGGGACCUAUAUGUAAAUAUAGAAAUUACAAGGACUAAACUGCUAAGUUGCAAAAAAAAAAAAAAAAAAAAGGAAAAACCGAAAAUUCGGUAUUAUCCCACCGCCUCCCACGCACUCUGUUUCUUUCCAGAAACAGAGAGAGCGGUGGGGCGUGAGGAGAAGAAGGAGAGUGGUUGAAGAAAAGAAGAAGAAGAGGGAAAAGAAGAGAGGAGGAAGAAGAGAGGAAGAAGAGGGAGAAGAGAAGAAGAUGAAGAAGAAGAAGAAGAGGAGGUGGCUGCAGCGAGGGCUGCAGCGAGAAGCUGUGGGGCGUGGGGAGAAGAAGAGAGGAAGAAGAGGGAGAAGAGAAGAAGAAGAAGAAGAAGCAAAAGAAGAAGAAGAAGAAGAAGAAGAAGAAGAAGAGAGGAUGAUAGCUGCGGCAAGGCUGCAGCGAGGAGGUGUGUGGGGUUGGGGAGGAAAAGGGAAGAGGAGAAGAAAAGAAGGAGAAGAAGAGGGAAAAGAGAGGGAAGAGGGAGAGGAGCGAGAGGUGGCAGCAGCUAGGGCUGCAGCACCUCUGUUUCCUGCAGGUGGAAACAGAGGAGAGGUGGGGCGUUCGAAGAGGAGAAGAAGAAGAAGAAGGAAGAGAAGAGGAAGAGGAAGCAAGAGAAGAGGUUGUGAUACCUCUGUUUCCUGCAGAGGAAACAGAGGAGAGGGUGUGUGUGACGUCGGGGAGAAGAAGGGGAGGAAGGAGAAGAAGAGAAGAAGAAGAAAGGAAGGAGAGGAAGAAGAGAAGGGAAAGGAGGAGCUGCGGCUGCGGCGGUGGCAGCUGCAGCUGGAAGAGAAGGAGAGGAAGAGAUGGUGAGGAAGAAGAGAAGAAGUAGAAGCGGGUGAAGAGGCGGCACCUCUGUUUCCUGCAGGAGGAAACAGAGGAAAGGAGGUGCUGUUCGUCGGGGAGAAGAAGGGGGCGGCAGCUGCGGCGAUGGCAGCUGCAGCUGGAAGAGAAGAAGAAGAGGAAGAUGAGCAGGGGAGGAGGGAGAGGUUGCGGCCGUGGCUGCGGCCGCGACUGCAGCAGUUGCAGCAGGGAGAGAAGAAGAAGAAAGGAAGGAGAAGGAAGAGGAGAAGGGAAAGAAGUAGCUGCGGCUGCGGUUGUGGCAGCUGCAGCUGUGGUAGGGAAAGAGGAAGAGAAAAAGGAAAGGAAGAAGAAGAGAAAGGGAAGGAGAGGAAGAAGAGAGGAAGAAGAGAGGAAGAGGAGAAGGGGCUGCGGCUGCGGCGAUGGCAGCUGCAGCUGUGGCUGGGAAAGAAGAGAAGGAAAGGAAGAAGAAGAGAAAGGGAAGGAGAGGAAGAAGAGAGGAAGAGGAGACGGGGUGGCAGCUGCGGCAGUGGCAGCUGCAGCUGGAAGAGGAGGAGGAAAUAGAGCAGGGGAGGAAGAAGAGGCUGCGAGUGUGGUGGCUGCGGCCGUGGUGGCUGCAGCCGUGGCUGCGACUCCGGCUGCGGCUGCGACGUUGGCUGCGGUAGCUGCGGCAGCGGUGGUGGCUGCAGUAGCUGCAGUAGCUGCUUUUGGGAAAGAGAAAGAGUAGGAACAAGAGAAGGGAAGAAGGAAAUAGUGCAGUGGAAGGGGGCUGCGGUUGUGACCGCAGUUGCGAUUGUGGCAGCGGCAGCGGCGGCGGCUGUGGCAGCUGCGUUUGGGAAAGAAAAAGAAGGAAUGAGAGUAAGAGAGAGCAGGUGACUGUGCCUCGAUGUUCGACACGUGAUGUAGUUACGAAGAAAGGAAGAAAACGGGAGCACAAAACGAAACAGAGAGAGGACACGGAGGAAAAGUAGAAAGAUUGGACUGGCACCUUCCUUGGAUAUUCAGAUCAAAAUAUUUGAAAGGUCAGCUUGUCACUCUUCGAGAUGUUUGAUUUGGGCUGAGGCAGUGGAUAGCUAUUCAGAAUUAUGGGCAAGUCCUGUUGGUUGUUAUGCUAUUGUUGUAUAAGCAUAUUUUGUAUGUAAUGAAUUGUUCUGAUGAUCGAAAUGGAUAUAUUGUGUAAAAGUGUUAGAAGAUCUCUCUUAUUUGGAAUUUCGGAAUGUUAAGUCUAAUUUAUGACGAUAUGAACUUGUGGUGAAUAGUUGGAGUUCUGAUUGUAUAAUUUAUUUAGCUUGUGGAUUUAUAAAUGUUGUUCAUGUUUGUCAAGUUGGCUUGGGUUGCCAUAAAUGUGAAUUAUCGAGUGAUGUGAUAUAUGAUUAUAAACUGCACAGGUUUUAUGGAUGUGAAUAUGAAUAGAAUGUUUUCAGUGUCCUCAAACGUUAGUUUGGAUCCUGGAUUGGUCUAUGACGAAAAUUUUAAAAAUCAUGGAUAUUUUGAGGGGCGUGACAGAGGUGGUAUCAGAGCAUGGUUUGAGGAUCACUGAAAUAUUUGAUAUGUUGACGUGCAAAAUAUAUUGAGCUCUAGUGAAUUAUAGUGAUUGGUGGAAAUAUUUUCUUUGUUGCAUUUUAGGAAUCUGGGAUGAUGAGGACAUUUGGUCCUCCUAUAUCAUUUGUUUCUGAUUAAUUAAGGGGAAUGAAAGGAUUGAUUGGGGAUAUUGAAUCAGAGUGGCGCAGCAGAAGCAUGAUGAACCUAAUUUCAUUGGUGGUAGAAAAAUGGAUGAUGCGAAUGGAGAAGAUAUUUGAUAUACAAAAUUGUUCUGAUACUCGAAAGAUUUCUUUUGCCACGUUAUAUUGGAAGUAAAGACUUAUUAUUGACGGCAACAAUGAAAAGAAUUUUUGAAGAUCAAUGGCAAGAAUGACAAGAACAAGUUUACCAAUAAAAAUAUGAUUGGAAAUGAAUCAGUAAGUAACAACAAGAGAGUCAAGACAUUUGGAUUUGAAAUGGGAAGUCACCACAAAAGACUCAAUCAGGUGUGAAUUGCAAGUUAAAUUAUGAAACAAGUUUAUGUUUGUGCGUGACUAGAGCCUAUUUUGCUUAUGGAAAGUUUGAUCAUAAAAUAAAAGUUUGCCCUUUGAACAAGAAGAAAGAGUCACUGCCUCCUAAAUCAUCAGCCCAUGUCAGAGUGUAUGCUAUCACUGAAUAUGAUUCUAAGACUUCUGAAUUAGUGGUCGAAGGUAUUAUGUAUGUUUAUGAAAGAAUGCAAAUAUUUGUUUGAACAUGGGUUCUAUCUACGAUUUGAUUCGUAACAUAUUGCCUAUCACUUGGGUAUUCAACCUAGACCACUGUAUUAUGUGAUAUAUGUAAGUACAAUCAUUGGAGAUUCUUUGAUAACGAACUUGAAUCUGGUCCUCUUGUCUGAUUUUUGUUGGAGAACUUGAACUUUUGCUGAUUUAGUUCUCCUAGAGAUUUGGAGUUAUGAUAUUAUACUUGGUAUGCAUUGGCUAUCUUCUUAUCAUACCAGUAUGGAUUGGUAUAUAACAAAUGAUCACUUUUUGCAUAUUUGAUCAGCCGAUCUUUUAUUUUGAGAGUAUUGGACAUUAUUUAUCUCCUUGCCUAAUGUAUCCCAGGAUGACUUGCCUGGAUUACCUCCAAAUGUGAUUUUGCUUUUGAUUUGGUCCUUGGGACAAUCCCUAUAUCUAAGCCUCUCUGCAGAAUGAUAUCAUUUGAGUAAGUGGAAUUAGAAAAACAACUACAAGGAUUAUUAAAUGAGGAUUUUAUUUGGCUUAAUAUUUUAUCAUGGGGUGCUCUGGUGUUAGUUAAAAAGAUGGAUGGAACAUGGAGGCUUUGUAUUGAUUAUGGAUAGUUGAAUCAGGUGAUCAUCAAAAACGAGUAUUUUCUGAAGUAACAUUUGCUUGAUUAAUUACAGGUGCGCAAGUAUUUUUGAAAGAUUGAUUGAAGGUCGGGUUUACCAUCUAUUGAGAAUCAAGAAGGAGAAUAUUUCGGUCACUCUUGGAAAAUUAUGUAAUUGUAUUGAAUUGAUGAAAUUAGUUAAGAGUAGGAGGAGGAAAUAAAGAAAUCAUAAUCCUCAUCUUUUCAUCGAUUGAGCUAUGACCAAUUUAGAGGACUAAAUUUUCUUUUAAGGGGGGGAGAGUGUAAUAUCCCCCACUUUUAAAAAUGUAUUAAUAAGGAUUUAUAUGUAAAUUGGGGGACCUAUAUGUAAAUAUAGAAAUUACAAGGACUAAACUGCUAAGUUGCAAAAAGAAAAAAAAAAAGAAAAGGAAAAACCGAAAAUUCGGUAUUAUCCCACCGCCUCCCACGCACUCUGUUUCUUUCCAGAAACAGAGAGAGCGGUGGGGCGUGAGGAGAAGAAGGAGAGUGGUUGAAGAAAAGAAGAAGAAGAGGGAAAAGAAGAGAGGAGGAAGAAGAGAGGAAGAAGAGGGAGAAGAGAAGAAGAAGAAGAAGAGGAGGUGGCUGCAGCGAGGGCUGCAGCGAGAAGCUGUGGGGCGUGGGGAGAAGAAGAGAGGAAGAAGAGGGAGAAGAGAAGAAGAGGAAGAAGAAGCAGAAGAAGAAGAAGAAGAAGAAGAAGAAGAAGAAGAAGAAGAAGAAGAAGAGAGGAUGAUAGCUGCGGCAAGGCUGCAGCGAGGAGGUGUGUGGGGUUGGGGAGGAAAAGGGAAGAGGAGAAGAAAAGAAGGAGAAGAAGAGGGAAAAGAGAGGGAAGAGGGAGAGGAGCGAGAGGUGGCAGCAGCUAGGGCUGCAGCACCUCUGUUUCCUGCAGGUGGAAACAGAGGAGAGGUGGGGCGUUCGAAGAGGAGAAGAAGAAGAAGAAGGAACAGAAGAGGAAGAGGAAGCAGGAGAAGAGGUUGUGAUACCUUUGUUUCCUGCAGAGGAAACAGAGGAGAGGUGUGUGUGACGUCGGGGAGAAGAAGGGGAGGAAGGAGAAGAAGAGAAGAAGAAGAAAGGAAGGAGAGGAAGAAGAGAAGGGAAAGGAGGAGCUGCGGCUGCGGCGGUGGCAGCUGCAGCUGGAAGAGAAGGAGAGGAAGAGAUGGUGAGGAAGAAGAGAAGAAGUAGAAGCGGGUGAAGAGGCGGCACCUCUGUUUCCUGCAGGAGGAAACAAAGGAAAGGAGGUGCUGUUCGUCGGGGAGAAGAAGGGGGCUGCAGCUGCGGCGAUGGCAGCUGCAGCUGGAAGAGAAGAAGAAGAGGAAGAUGAGCAGGGGAGGAGGGAGAGGUUGCGGCCGUGGCUGCGGUCGCGACUGCAGCAGUUGCAGCGGGGAGAGAAGAAGAAGAAAGGAAGGAGAAGGAAGAGGAGAAGGGAAAGAAGUAGCUGCGGCUGCGGUUGUGGCAGCUGCAGCUGUGGCAGGGAAAGAGGAAGAGAAAAAGGAAAGGAAGAAGAAGAGAAAGGGAAGGAGAGGAAGAAGAGAGGAAGAGGAGAAGGGGCUGUGGCUGCGGCGAUGGCAGCUGCAGCUGUGGCUGGGAAAGAAGAGAAGGAAAGGAAGAAGAAGAGAAAGGGAAGGAGAGGAAGAAGAGAGGAAGAGGAGAAGGGGUGGCAGCUGCGGCAGUGGCAGCUGCGGCAGUGGCAGCUGCAGCUGGAAGAGGAGGAAAUAGAGCAGGGGAGGAAGAAGAGGCUGCGAGUGUGGUGGCUGCGGCCGUGGCUGCGACUCCGGCUGCGGCUGCGACGUUGGCUGCGGUAGCUGCGGCAGCGGUGGUGGCUGCAGUAGCUGCUUUUGGGAAAGAGAAAGAGUAGGAACAAGAGAAGGGAAGAAGAAAAUAGUGCAGUGGAAGGGGGCUGCGGUUGUGACCGCAGUUGCGAUUGUGGCAGCGGCGGCGGCUGUGGCAGCUGCGUUUGGGAAAGAAAAAGAAGGAAUGAGAGUAAGAGAGAGCAGGUGACUGUGCCUCGAUGGCGGCGGCGGCGGCUGUGGCAGCAUACUCAGAUUGGACUGGCACCUUCCUUGGAUAUUCAGAUCAAAAUAUUUGAAAGGCAAGUUCCCUGAUCGUUUCUCCUAUAAUUGCUCUGAUAUUUCUUAUUUCAAGUUCCCUGAUCGUUCCUCCUAUAAUUGCUCUAACUUUUCUUAUUGCAAGUUUCCCGAUCGUUUCGCCUGUAAUUGUUCUAAUCUUUCCUAUUGCAAGUAUCCUGAUCGUUCCUCACUACAAUUUUAUCUCUACAUUUGCUUUGAAUAUGAGGAACUUUGAAUUGUUCUAGCCUUGCAUUUGAUAUAUCUCCUGUUUAGACGUAACGAUUCGAAUCUGUGCAACUUCUGAUAUUCUGACCUUUUGAUACCGAGCUGCUUAUAAGUCUUUGUUGGGAACUCUGAUUUGUUCAAAACUGAUUUCAUUGGAAAAUAGACUCGUAGACCUUUCCUUGAUAUAUGGAUUGAAAGAUUUGGAAUCCAAACACCUGUCCAGCUAUCUGUUGAAUCUGAAAUUAGGAAUUUUGCCAACAGAGAUUUUAUUCUACGACACUUGCUUACCAAAUUAUUUGUAACUCUCUCUGUUGGACAGUUCAAUUCAUAUGAAGCAUGUCUUAUCUGAAAGUAUUAUCCAAUGAUUAUUUCUGAGUAAAUUGGAGCACGUUUGAUAGUUUGAAUCAUUUGUUCAAUGUGCCUUCUGUAUUCUGCCAGAAAUCGAGCUUUGGUCGAUUUCUCA